AUGCACGCUGGCGGCGUGCCUCAUCCCUGCAAGUCGAGCGCACGGACGAGAAGCUUGCUUCUCUGAUGUUAGCGGCGGACGGGUGAGUAACACGUGGAUAACCUACCUAUAAGACUGGGAUAACUUCGGGAAACCGGAGCUAAUACCGGAUAAUAUUUUGAACCGCCUGGUUCAAAAGUGAAAGACGGUCUUGCUGUCACUUAUAGAUGGAUCCGCGCUGCAUUAGCUAGUUGGUAAGGUAACGGCUUACCAAGGCAACGAUGCAUAGCCGACCUGAGAGGGUGAUCGGCCACACUGGAACUGAGACACGGUCCAGACUCCUACGGGAGGCAGCAGUAGGGAAUCUUCCGCAAUGGGCGAAAGCCUGACGGAGCAACGCCGCGUGAGUGAUGAAGGUCUUCGGAUCGUAAAACUCUGUUAUUAGGGAAGAACAUAUGUGUAAGUAACUGUGCACAUCUUGACGGUACCUAAUCAGAAAGCCACGGCUAACUACGUG
rnacentral:rRNA from 1 species